GACGAACGCUGGCGGCGUGCCUAAUACAUGCAAGUAGAACGCUGAAGGAGGAGCUUGCUUCUCUGGAUGAGUUGCGAACGGGUGAGUAACGCGUAGGUAACCUGCCUGGUAGCGGGGGAUAACUAUUGGAAACGAUAGCUAAUACCGCAUAAUAGCAGUUGUUGCAUGAUAACUGUUUGAAAGGUGCAAUUGCAUCACUACCAGAUGGACCUGCGUUGUAUUAGCUAGUUGGUGGGGUAACGGCUCACCAAGGCGACGAUACAUAGCCGACCUGAGAGGGUGCUCGGCCACACUGGGACUGAGACACGGCCCAGACUCCUACGGGAGGCAGCAGUAGGGAAUCUUCGGCAAUGGACGGAAGUCUGACCGAGCAACGCCGCGUGAGUGAAGAAGGUUUUCGGAUCGUAAAGCUCUGUUGUAAGAGAAGAACGAGUGUGAGAGUGGAAAGUUCACACUGUGACGGUAUCUUACCAGAAAGGGACGGCUAACUACGUG
rnacentral:rRNA from 1 species